rnacentral:rRNA from 1 species
UACGUAGGGUGCAAGCGUUAAUCGGAAUUACUGGGCGUAAAGCGCACGUAGUCGGCUUGUCAAGUCGGGUGUGAAAUCCCCGGGCUCAACCUGGGAACUGCAUCCGAGACUGCCUUGCUAGAGUAUGGGAGAGGGAAGCGGAAUUUCUGGUGUAGCAGUGAAAUGCGUAGAUAUCAGAAGGAACAUCAGUGGCGAAGGCGGCUUCCUGGACCAAUACUGACGAUCAGGUGCGAAAGCGUGGGGAGCAAACAGG